rnacentral:lncRNA from 1 species
AUGGAGCAGCGUAAUCUCGAAGAGCACGAGCUGGUUCUGCCAUCUCGGGUAUCGGCGAAGGAAGAAGAUUUUUGAGAUCAGGAAUUUCGAUUGGAGGAAGAUUGUUUUCAGCACGAUACUCCCGAAUUCAUCGUAAGACUCGGAGAUAUCGUUCAACGUCGUUGAUUCGUAAGUAAUACGGUUCGCCUUGUGAGCGAGUGUGUGGCAUACAAAUCAACGAAAGACAAGAAAAAAAAAUAAAAAAUUGCCUUAGUCUCUACAGCGUAACAGAAGAGUUACGAUAUCGACUAAAUAAAAGUCCCCGGCAACGGCGCCAAAAACUUGAUCGCGACUUUAUGAGUCUAUUGGGG